GGGCGGGGGGGGGGGGGGGUGGCGCUUGUGUUGAUCCGUGUUGCCCGCCGCGCGCAGACAUUCGCGCGCUACACACCGGAAAAGAGCCGUCUCAUGGGAUGCGGUGGAGGCCGUGAAGAGCAGCGGCGCCGGGCGCUGCAGAUCGCCGCGGGAGGCGGGAGGAUGGCGGUAUGCGCGUACCUGGUCAAGGAGCUGUGCUUGGACGUGAACGCAUCCGACAGGUCAGGAUAACUCAGUGAAACCUGCUGAAAGUUACAAGGAUGCAGGGCAUACAAGAGAAAAGAUUAUCUUAUUGCACAAUGGUAGUUACUAGAAGCUGGGUUGUGCUUUUGUGAGCCAUUCUAUCAGGAUAUUUGAUUAUUCUGGGUCAAAUGUCAGGGCAUAGUUUUUUAACUUAAUUGAAUAGUAUUGGACAAGGGAGGGAAGCAAUUCAGGGACAGGGUUGUGCUUUCUUCUUAAACAUUUGGCAAACAAAUCAACUUUUCUAUCAAGAAAAUGACCCUGUCAUCUGUGUCACAGCCUCACAGGAAAGUGGGAGUAUGGUUCCGCAGUUUCGCUUCCGCUGUAAAAAAUACAGUAGAAAAACGGUGUUAAGUUACAAUUGGAUGUGUAGUGGGGAAAAUGAAGCCAGAGGAAUAUAGUUUACCAUUUGUGUGAAGAAAAGAUAAUGGUUCCAUCAAAAGCAUUUCGAAAACAAAGAAGGAUCUGAGAUUUGUUUUUACUGAAAUUCCUUUCGAGUAGAUGAUUUUUGUACAAUGUGAAUUAGACCCAUUGAAAUAGCAUUGGUCCAGCAGCUACUUAACCACAAAAUUGUCCUAUCACAGAAUUAGACUUCUGAAGAAUAUAUGCUCCAAGGUGGAAUAGGUGGUUUGUCAAGACUAACCGAACCACAAAAGGAUGCAGCACGAUGGUUGGGCAAAGGCCUGCUAUCUGGAAGGAGCUGCCCAGAUGUUACUCAAGGCCUAUGAAAAGCCAUGCAUGUGAUGUGUUUCUUGAUGCUCUUAAACUGGAUCCAGCAGAUGUUGGGAUCAAGAAAGCAUUAUGGUAGUGAACUCAUCCUUUUCUUUUCUGAAGACACAGUUCUCCAAAUCUAACAUUUUACUUGUAUAUCCAUAUUCUAUUCGUAAAUCUCAUAUAUUUCAUCAUAUUAAAACAUACACAUGGUGACUUAUCUAGUGAAUUAGAUAAUUGUGUCCUACUGUCCUAUUUGAGUCAAGAGCAUCUUCUACGUGUCCCAUGUGCUUCUUCAUUUAAAAUGCUUUAGUAAUUGCUGUUAGUGCUUGCAGGGAUGCCGCAUGAAGACAU